rnacentral:rRNA from 1 species
GAUGAACGCUAGCGGCAGGCCUAAUACAUGCAAGUCGAACGGUAAGUCCCUGCUUGCAGGGAACACGAGUGGCGCACGGGUGCGUAACGCGUAUGCAACCUACCUUCAACAGAGGAAUAGCCCCGAGAAAUCGGGAUUAAUACUUCAUAAUUAUAAGUUUUGGCAUCAUUACUUAUUUAAAGCUCCGGCGGUUGAAGAUGGGCAUGCGUAACAUUAGAUAGUUGGUGAGGUAACGGCUCACCAAGUCUACGAUGUUUAGGGGUUCUGAGAGGAUUAUCCCCCACACUGGUACUGAGACACGGACCAGACUCCUACGGGAGGCAGCAGUAAGGAAUAUUGGUCAAUGGACGAAAGUCUGAACCAGCCAUGCCGCGUGCAGGAUGACAGCCCUAUGGGUCGUAAACUGCUUUUAUAUGGGAAGAAACCCCUCUACGUGUAGAGGGCUGACGGUACCAUAAGAAUAAGGAUCGGCUAACUCCG